rnacentral:ncRNA from 1 species
UUAAAUAUCGGGCAAAUCUGUCGAAAGGCAGAGACGCAAAGCUAUGGGCCUAAGGCAGAAAUGCUAUGGUUGCCAGGUUGCUUAA